AUUGAACGCUGGCGGCAUGCCUUACACACGCAAGUCGAACGGCAGCACGGGAGCAAUCCUGGUGGCGAGUGGCGAACGGGUGAGUAAUAUAUCGGAACGUGCCCAGUCGUGGGGGAUAACGUAGCGAAAGCUACGCUAAUACCGCAUACGAUCUAUGGAUGAAAGCGGGGGAUCGCAAGACCUCGCGCGAUUGGAGCGGCCGAUAUCAGAUUAGGUAGUUGGUAAGGUAAAGGCUCACCAAGCCGACGAUCUGUAGCUGGUCUGAGAGGACGACCAGCCACACUGGGACUGAGACACGGCCCAGACUCCUACGGGAGGCAGCAGUGGGGAAUUUUGGACAAUGGGCGGCAAGCCUGAUCCAGCAAUGCCGCGUGCAGGAUGAAGGCC
rnacentral:rRNA from 1 species